rnacentral:snRNA from 12 species
AUACUUACCUGGCAGGGGAAAUACCAUGACCACUAAAGCGGUUUUCCUAGUUGCAGGGGAAAACUAUUUUCUUGGCAGGGGGUAGUACCCUGACUGAGACACUGCUUAAUUAGCCUCCCACUUUCACUUCUAGUGGGAAGAUCUUGGCUUUAUGCCACUUUAUGGAAAUGGGAGACUCCUUCCUAGCUUGCUCCUG